UACGUAGGGUGCGAGCGUUGUCCGGAAUUAUUGGGCGUAAAGGGCUCGUAGGCGGUUUGUCGCGUCGGGAGUGAAAUCCACUGGCUUAACUGGAGGCUUGCUUUCGAUACGGGCAGACUGGAGGUAUGCAGGGGAGAACGGAAUUCCUGGUGUAGCGGUGAAAUGCGCAGAUAUCAGGAGGAACACCGGUGGCGAAGGCGGUUCUCUGGGCAUGUCCUGACGCUGAGGAGCGAAAGUGUGGGGAGCGAACAGG
rnacentral:rRNA from 1 species